UGGACCUCUUACCGAUUAAGUUCCAAACCGACGGCUAAUUUUAUAUAUGCCAUAGAUUUCAUAUUUAAUUUGCUGUAGUAAUCAUAUAUCUACAAUCGUAAUUGGCUUCUGAUCGGUCUAAUGAACUCAAUCGGAUAGAAGAAGCUGGUGGUCGUUUGUAAUCAAAUUUCAAUGGUCCAAGAGUUCUUGCAGUUUUGCCUGUGUCUCGAAUUGGAGAAGCUCAGAUGCUCCGAUACGGAGGUGUGAGCGGCUGGUUGUGGAGGGCACAAGAAGAGGUAGAGGGCGGUUUAAGAAGUAUUGGGGA